rnacentral:lncRNA from 1 species
ACAAACCCAAAUGGUUCUCAAUAGGGCAGCCUCCUUCAUCUACAAUUUCUUCAGUCCGCUUUUAGGGCAGACAAGUUUUAAGGCAGCCCCAUGUUGCUAUGAGGUGAUUGAAUCAGAGGGUGGGAAGAUAGUUGAGGAGGAUGUUUGUUGUGUGUGUUUGUCAAGAUUGGUGGAGGGUGAGGACGUGAGAAGUCUCCCUUGCCUGCAUGAGUUUCACAAGGUGUGCGUUGAUAAGUGGUUCGACGCAUGCCGGACCACCUGCCCGCUGUGCCGUUUUCCGGUGGGAGGGAACAAGUCUCAGGUGGUGGAGUUGCUGACUGAGGAGAUGAUGUUGUAUUUUUCUUCUUUUCAUAUAUCUGGGUUCUAAGUUGAGAAUUCCACUUGAUGUUUGCUGGUGGUGUUAAAUUUGCAUGGCAAUGGCAAACCACAGGAACAUUGAGUGGAUGUGUAAAUGUUUUAAAAACAAUCAAGGAGACUCUAUCGACAGCUCCAACUCAAGCCUGCGUCUUUUGAAUCAAACACACAACAUUUCUUGCUUUAAUUUAAUUUAAUUUAAUUUACUUGCAUUUGGAAAGAAAAUUUCAAAAAUAAAACAGUGAACAUUUGAAUGAGGGCAAGCCAAGCCCAUUACAUUGGGUUGGUCGAAAUUUCCAUCAAUUCCAUAAACAAACUGAUGGGUGCGGCCCAAUAAGAGGCCCAGAUGAACUGGGUGCUUAAAAAGCAAAAAGUUCCGUUGCCGGGAAUCGAACCCGGGUCUCCUGGGUGAAAGCCAGAUAUCCUAACCGCUGGACGACAACGGAUUGAUGUUAAAUUGUAGCACAAACAUCCUAAUAUUGGAAAUCUAUGUGCACUGCUCAAGCUUUUUGUAUAAAGAGUGUUUUCAGACCCUAUUUCUUCUUUGAGUUUUCUCUGUUGUUUGCAGACUAAUACUCACAAACUAGUUUCAUUGACUAUGGACGAGAGACCAAACUUGCCUCUUUAUUUAGACUACCCCAAAUACCAUGAAUAUAACUUUAGACAAAGACACAAACAGACAAGUAGGUUCAAUCACACUUUACAUCUUGCAAACCAACAAAGAAAGAAGUGGGGAGACAAACAUAUAGGUGGAACCUCACUUCACACCUUGCAAACAAACAAACAAGUGCUUAACGAGAAUCUACCAAACUGAGAAUCAAAACCAAACUGAGAAUCAAACUCUUUCGUCCAAAAAAAAAAAAAAAAGAGAAUCAAACUCGGCACCACUGAUGCCUUGAUAGAUAAACACCAGUCCUAUAAAUUUAAGAGUUAACUGUUGAUUUGCCCUAUAAACUUGUACACUACUUUCAAUUUGUACCCUCAACUUUUUUUUUUUUUGAAAAAUUAAGUGCACGACCUAAUUUUUAUCGCCAAUUUCCCCAUGCCAUUUAAAUAUCGACAUUUAAUUCAAUUUACCGUUAAAAUAUAAGGAUAAAUUAGUCAUUUUAUAUUUUAAAAUAAUUAAAUACAAUAAAAAUAAAAGAAUAUGAUUUUUAAAAUGAAAAAAAAAUCAAUUUAAAUAAACAUCAAUCUUGCUAACACAAUUAAAAGACAACUUUAUGAUGGGCAUAAUACUUGCCCUACAUGUUUCAUAGACAAAAUACUUAUCAAUUGUUUACACUGCAUCCACUGUCUCCCCCCCUAUCCCUAUUUGGAACUAGAAACCUUCUCAAACCAUAACUAGAACUUGGAACUCCUAAUCUGACGCGUGUCUUGCAAGGAGGAGAGGAGAUGAUAAAAAACUGAGUCUGUAUUUACCUUUGUCCUGACCCGCCGACAGCAAUCUCCACAUCAGUCCAAAAAAUGAUUAACAAAGGCCAAAAAAAAAAAACUUCCCACUUUCCAAAAGUUAAUCGCAGGCAUAAUCACUUGAUUAACUUGCUAAGUUGCAAUUAAGGGUCAGUAACUUUUCCCCACGUUAUCAUGAUUGCUUCUUUUAGACCGUCCUAUAGGGGCAUGGCAAGUAAUCAUCUCCAUGACCAAGAUAUGCCCUUACAGCCGACAACAUAGUACAUUAAUGGCUGCCUGCCAUAGCAAAGAAAAAGUAGAGCUUCUGCAUGUGGCUACGCCCAUUCUCCAUGAGCUGACUAAAGGCUUGGGAUAAGAGAUAAGAAAAUGCAGAAAGCAAUUGGCCAGGUGAAAAGUUAUUCAACUCUAUACAUGUUCUUGGCAUCCUAUAAAAUUGUCCUCGCUAUGAUUCCCACUUACCCUUCAAACAGUUCACUAUGGGGGUAUUUUUCCAUGAAAAUGGAAAAUUGGUUUCAAGAACAUGAGGGGGAAAGAAUUUUAUGUCAACGAAAGCGAAGGAAAAAAGAGAUGAAUACGAACAAAAUAAACAAGACCCACCAAAAUUAAGUUCCUUCUUGUUGGGAAUUUUUUCUUUCUUCUUCUUUUUCUGCAUACAUACAUUGAGAUUUGAAAGUCAUUGUUAUAAUAUUCUAAAGCCUAAAACCUCUACUUGUAGAAAAAGAUACAUUCAUUUCACCACCUAAAUAUUACCACAAAAUAUUGAAGCACCCAUUGGUCCGGCUCUUAUAACUCAAAAUCAAGAGGACCUUGGAAAAAAAGAAAAAAAGAAAAAGAAAAGAGCAAUGCCCUGAGGUUUUCAAAAUGGAGCUGUUGAGGAUCGAUGAAGAUUGUGCUUUUUGGGUUGUUGAGAAGCUGCUGCAAAACAUAACUGCAUAUAUAUAUAAACAAGUCCAAGUCAAAAAAAAAAAAAACACAGAAGAAAAUAACUUUUUUUGGAAGCAGUAGUUUUGCUGAUAAUAAGUACAAACUAAGACUGCUUUCCUACCUGUUCUUGCUGCCUUUUGAGUCUUGUAUUUUCUUCCAUCAAAUGUGCAACUUCUAGCUCCAACUCAUUUGUGUAAGCCUGUUGGUACCAACCAGAAAUCAUAAAAACAUAAAAAGCAAAAGACAGUCCAAAACACAAAAAAAGCAAGACUAAAAAAAUAAAGAACAGACAUAAAGUUUAUAUGAAUAACAAAUUGGGAUUAUUAGACAGAUACAUUCCUGCUUCCUGGCUCUAGAUCGAGCAGCAGAUUCUCUGUUCUUGAUCAUGCGAUUAUGUCUUCGAUCUCCUCCCGAGUUGCUGUGAUCAGAGUCAGGGAAUGCUCUCUUCCCAAAAGAAGGCAAGCCAGAAGAGGAAGCAGCCAAGCUCUCAAAUGGGGAAGCACUGAAAGAAUUAGAAACACUACUAGAAAUGUUGUUGGGGUUAGACUGACGGUGAUGAGGAUGAAACUCUGAGGAGGGAGGCCUAAUAAGAGGGUCAGAGACAUAGAAAAGCUGAAAGUGAUCAGAGCCAGAAUUGGUCAAGCUGAGAACAGGGGGAGGGCCUGGUGGAGGCAGAGGAGGAGAGGCAGGGCUGUUGAGAGUGGCCUGUUCAGUGGGUGUGGAGACCAAGCUGACUGGAGGUUCAUUGUGGGAAAAGGGUCUAGCAAGGAAGUCUUGAAGAUUUCUGAAGUUUGGGUCGUGGGUUCCAUGAGGGAGAUUAAUGUGGUGAAGGAGUGAUGAUCUCCUGUUUGGGGUGGUCUCAGAGAGAGAGGCAAGAUUGAUGUCUUUCCAAACCUCUUCCAUGGUUCUCUGGGGGGUUUGGAGGGAAAAGGGUUGGUGUGAAAAAGGGGAAGGGGAUGAUGAGGACCAAGAUGAAUUGGUGGAUGAAGAAGCUACUCUCUUUGGGGUAUUAGUACUGUUGUUGCUGGUUGUGUUGUAGUUGGUUUGGUCACUACUACCUCUACCAGUUGAUGUUGAUGACAACAUUGAAGAGAGAGAGAGAGAGAGAGAGAGGGAGAUGUGUUUUCAGAGAAGAGAUGAAUGAGAGAGGGAUUGGUACUUUUUGGCACUGUAUAUGUGAAUGACUCAAUUGUUUAUGUCUUUUUUCUUUUUUGGUCAAGAAUGACUCAAUUGGUAUUUGGUAAUGUCUAAAAUAGGCUGCAGCCAUGGAGCUCUUGUUAUUGGGAAGGACAUAUAGUUUUGUGCGUGCGUGUGUGGGUAUCUGCAAUGAGGCCAUUUCUUUCUCACUUUCUCUUUUUAAAUUGGUUAAGGGUCUCCCAAGGAGAGACAAACUUCAGCCUCCUCAGCUUAUAAUCAAGUCAAAAAUGUCAUCUUGGCAAGUGUAUUUUGAAGGGAAAAUGAUCUUGGCUCUGCUGUCAUGAAAAUUCUGCUUUCAUCUAACCUAAACCCUAGAUUGAAAAAAGUUUUGAUCUUUUGUUGCAAAAGAGUUUAAAUUUUCGGAUUUUGCAUUAUAUUAUACUAUGAGUUACUAUUGGCAAAUAUGAUUCUAGCAUACAUGGAAAACGUUACAUAUGGUCCCCAAAGACUUCUGGUGGCAGCAGCAUCAACAUGAAAGUGAAAGGGCAAUUCGUGGUCAAACUCAUACUGAGCUACGCAGUUGACAGUUUGAUAGAUAUUUUAUGUACUUUUUGAUUUGGCAAAUAAUAUUUUAUUUCUAUGAAGAUCAAUUUAUUUAAUGUUUAAUAUUUAAUACCUUGAUUUGCACCACAGCCACCAACUCCAAGGAAGCAUGGCAGCUUCUGCCUCCUCUCUCUCUCUCUCUCUCUCAUAAAAUCAGUCACACUAUCUCACUUGUUACCAUUUUCAUUUCAUUCAAAAAGGGUACCCACUUAACAGAUAUAUAUAUAUAUUUUAGUCGAAACCACCUACCGGAUUUACACACCUGUAUUAUUCAUGGGAUAAUUUCCUGCACCUGCAGGUGGGCUUGCUUGGUCCCCUUUUCCUCCCGAAGCCCGACUCACUUCAAUUGGAGAAUGGAGAAUUUAUCUCCUCCGCAAUCAUUAUUUUGGCCAGUAGUUCUGUUUGUCCGUGUGUGUCUCACCAGGUCAAUAGUGUUUCUGGUUUUUAUUUUAUGUUGCAAACUUUGCUUAAAUCAGGAAAGGAAAUGAAAUGAAAUGAACAUGAUCAUGUGUGUACGUUCUCUUUAUAAUUACAAUAUGAUUUCUUGGUGAAUAAGCUAAGCAAUAUAAUUUAUGUUAGCAAUUUUGGCAUUCCUCUAUUCAACAUCGAGCGUCGGAUUUCUGAAUUGACCAGAAAAUUUCUUAUAAAUCCUUAAUUUGGACACAUACGGAAAUGAAAACAGAUACGAAAUUGUAAUCCCCAAUUUCGAGUCUCAACCUAUAUAAAGAGGCUACAAGAGAAGUGUGGAAAAUCACUAAUCAUAUUGUAGACCGUCCUUGAAUGCCAGCCAGGAAUGCAGUGCUACAUUUGGCCUUGCAUAGGAAUAUAUUAAAAAAAUACUUAUACUUUAAUGGGAUGUGAUUUCUUUGGAUUUGCAGUGUUCUUUUACAUGGAAAAAUAGUAUUAUUUUUUCUCAUUUACAAGUGCCGUACAUUGACAGUUGGCUCAUUACGUACGAUGAAAUUUUGGCACUGUGAAUUUGACACAAGACAACCGUUGGACCAUACACUGUUGACCAGUUCUUGAAGAUUUUAGCUUUUUUAAAUUUAUUUUUCCAACCAACCAAAUUAGAAACAGUAAAUUUGUUACUUGUGUUGUCAAGGGAAAGCAUGGGAAGUUGGUCAGGGAUUUGAGAGAUUGAUCAAAAUAUUGCAAACAGAGUCUAGUCCUGGAGCUAUAGCCAUCUGUCACCACAGUAUUGCUCUGUCCCAAACUCCUUCACACCCUUUAUGCUUCUCUCUCUCUCUUCACACUGAACCAGCUGAGAACUCCAGAAAUAGUUAUAAUUUGCAUAAUUGGUUUUUUCGUCAAAUUCUAUUAAAUUUUUUGUCAUAUUGCAUCAUUGGAAAAAUAGACAGAUUUGCUAGAAAGGGCUAGUAGUGCAACAACUUAGGUGACUUUUAUAAAUAUUUUUAAAAUUGAGUGACCAAAAUAUAACUCCGAAUAUAAUUCAGAAACCAUUGCUACACUUAAGCCUUAAAAUUAAAAUGAAAUUAUAAAGAAAAGGAAGAAACCCUUUUAUCACACUCAAGUUCAACCUAUUAUGUGCCAGUUUUUCUUUUUCUUUUCUAAUGGCCUAGAAAUAUGCAUGGUAUUGUACCAUUACUAGUUACUGUUUGCUGUUUUCUGCAUAUGCAAACAAUAAUAAGAAACUUUCUUUUAUGGUUUAUUUAUACAGACAAAGCAAUAAAAAAGGAGGACACCUUGUUGCUGUCUAUAUUGAUGGGAUGGGGUUUGAUUUGAUUGAGGCUAAAUGGCUUUCCAUAACUGAGUUACCAGAGAAACCCAGAAAAUUAAAAUGAAUAAACAAACAAAUUCAAGCAAGGUUCUGAUAUUCUGAUAUUAUUUUUAAUACCCAAUGUGAUUGAUUUGUCUGUUUUGCUCAGUCUAAAAGCCAAGGGGUGGUAACAGAGGAGCAGUCUUUUAACCUUUGGAUUUUGGGAUAAUGCUGUAUAAAAUCCAGUAGGCUCAAAUUUCAAGGCAAAUCUGUAGGUAUGGUGGCACUAAAAACACUUAUUGCUCUUCGAGCUCCUUUUUCUGCUUUAUGGGUUUCUUUUUGGCCACUUGAGGUUCUAAUUCUAGCCAACCAAAUCCAUGAUAACCGUUGCACUCUUCUUGUUCUUGCGUUUUUUCUGUGUGUUUGGGAUGUGCUUGGAGGAGCCUCUGGACUUUAUAACCAUUUAUGCAAAAGAAAAUACCACGAGCUCAAUCAGAAUGUCUAAAUUUGACACCUAAAAUGGUUGGAGGUUGGGGGGGAAGUAAAGUAUGGCCAUUUGCCCAAAAUCCCCCAACCAAGAUGUCAUCUGCUAAACAAACUAAUACAUAUAUUUAUAUAAGAUGUUACCAUAUUAUAUAGCUUUGUUUGUAGGUAGGUACAUGUGUUGUGGGGGCAAAAGAGCACACUUGGGGCAGACAGAUGACUGGUUUCUUUCCCUUUUUUGGUUUUGGUUUUUAUUCAAAUGGGCUGGAGAUGAGAUGACUAAUUAGGACUAGCGGAAGAUGCCAUGACCCAGAAAAGUUAAUAAAACUGAGUAAUAUCCAUGCACCAAAACUGACUAAUUAUGGCAAGCAUGAGAUGCGUGAUUGUAAUCAGGGUUUUUUUCUUCUUCCAAAAUCAACGGAGGAGAACAAAUUCUAACUCGAGAAUUAUUUUAAUAUUAGGAAGAAAAUUAUCAUUAGAUUAAUAACUACUCGGUUACGCAUCCUCUCACCUUAUAUGAGGUACAUUAUUUGAUGUCGAGCUAAUAUUAGUGGGAAAAGAGUGGUGGAUCCAUCCAAAUACAAAAUGAUAUCAUGAAAUGCAAACAACUCUCUUCACAUGAUGUGAUUUGCUUAACUUUACCUCCAAAAUGUUUCCAGUACUUCAGUUUGGGAGGAAAAUCCAAGAUCAUCGGCUUUUAUCCACCAUGACAUUGACAAGCUCUUUUUUUUUUUCUUAUUGGGUGAAGCAUGAACUAUUUGUCACUUUGUUGUAGUUGUACAAAAACUAUUUAGAUAUGGCCCAACCAAGAUGACAACAAUCUUUAAAAGGGUUAACUCCAAGCCUUUCUUUGUCAUACCCCAUUUUGCACAAACUACAAACAAAAGAACAUUCACAAAAGAACACAUUCUACGAAGAAAAAUCUUUUUUUUUUUUCUUUUCGUAUUGUACACGUUUACGUGCAGAAAAUUGAUUUGUGAUUUAUUUACAUACAUUAUGCAAAAACAUAUGUAGUUUGACAAAAAACUAGUGAGACUCAAACUAAUAAAUAUAACGUGAGAACCUUCGGAAAUUUUGUUCCAACAAGGGACACAAAAAACUUUUUAAAAUAUGGGGAAACUGAAAUAAAAAAAAAUAAAAAAAAACAGAUUAGAAAAUAAUAGAAUAAAUAAAUAUGAUCCGCUACAUUUAAUUAAAAUAUCAAACAAAAGCUUAAUCCAAUGAUUCUGAGCAGGUAAAGUUCCAAACUGCAAUCAACAUGAAGUACCAACCACAUCCAGUUCCGACCUGGAUGGAUACAUCAGUUCGUUCCACCAGGAACCAUUUAUGCCGUAAAUCCUCAAAUGGUGAAGAUGAUAGAAGGUAUACAUAUAUGUCAAUUUAAUUCUAAAUAUUAUAUUAAAAGUGAGAAAAUAAUAUAAGAUGACCCUCAUGCCAUCAAUAGUAGCCGAAUUUACUGUAGCACCGUCCAGCAGAAUCCGGCGAAGACCACCCUCUCCCCUCAGACACCCAAACACCAUCCAUCCAUCCCUCCCUCUCUCCCUCUCUCCAUCACGCUCAAAAUCACAUAAUCUCUUGAAAUUGGAGGUUGGCUGACCCCAAAGAUUGUAAAAACCAGCUGAGGGGCAGUAUGGGGAAAAGACAGCAAAAAUUCCCCAGAAGAAAGCACCAACCAUGCCACCAUAAAAUUUAAACGGAGAGAAAGAGGAAACAUAAAAAAAGUACAGAAAUCCCAAUAAACUCAUGCAACUAGCUCGAGUCAUCAAACGUUUGGCUUUUUUUUUCCCCAACUAGUCUUUUCUUCUGUUCCUAGAUGGUUCUCUUUUCCCCAUUUUUAGUUUCUUUCUAUUUGCCUGGCGAGAAACCAUGUUUCAUCAUGCCAAGGCAUCAGUACUAUUUUCAAAAAGAAGAAGAAAAAAAAAAAAAAAAAAAGAGAAAACAAGAUAUUCACCAUCGCGUCUUUUAAACACCUUUUCCCACAGUUCAUUUUUCUCCAAGAGUGUGCAUAGUCAGUGCACAUCCCUCUUUAACUCUAAUUUCUUGCCGAAAUAGAGCGAUCGGCACCUGCUUGAACACCAAAUUGACCUGCUCCCUCGCCACUAGACGGCUGUGGCUGACUACUGUUCUCAAUAUUGAUGUUGCUAGCAGUCUUCUCAUCCAGAGCAAUACUUUGGAUCUGAGCUGACAGUAUAUCUUGACCGGACUUUCCUAGGGCCUGAGAGCCUGACGCAUUAGGAGGCUGGGCAGUUGGCAUUACCCAUCUCAUCCAAUCAUUGCGCCUCCUUAUUUUAUCACCCUAAACACAAGGCAAACAUUACAUAUCACAAGAUUUGGCAUGUUAUUAGAAUAGCUAUAGAACUCAAACACGUAACACUUUUUAACUGUAUAUUAUGGGAUAGGAGGCAAGAGGGGGGUGGGAAGGAAAAGUUAGAGAAGAAAGGAGAUUUAAUACUAACUCAACAAGUAACAUUAAAUUCUUGAUUCCAUGAUUACAUCGGACCUUAAAUUAUGGAUUCCAGAAUUACCUGUACUUCCACAACAGUUGACAUUCUCAUAGCAUCCAGUAUAAGCUGAAUGUUGUCUGUCAAAUUCAUAACCUGAAAAGGAGAUACAGAAAUUGUGUUUGAAUUGAUCAUAUUAAAAAGAAAAAAGAAAUCUCUGACAAAAGCAAAAGAAUCAGCGAAUUUUAUGAGUAUAGAGAUGCGCAAAAAUUGACAUUCUCACUACUUCCAUGAAAUCUCUGGCACACUCACUCUUAGUUUGCUCAACAGUACAAAAGAUGAGAAAGAAAUCAAACUGGUACAGAAGGUAAAGGACUUGAUUCUAAACUAUUUUGAGUAGAUUUAUUGCAAUAUCGGCAACACAUAUCCUUGUUAAAGUUUAUAUACAAAGACAUUGAUAACAGUUUCAUUUCAGUAACAAAAUAUGUUUAAAGCUUAUGUAUGUUGGAAAUUGCACAUCUGAUGUCACCAACAAACACUUUAAAUAGAAAAGGAUGAAAAAAAAACAGAAGCACAAAAUAAGACCAAUAUUAUUCCCCCCACCAAAAAAAAAAGAAAAAAAAAAGCAUAAAUUUGCCAUCAAUGUGUCAUUUCUCCACAUGACAUAGAUAGACACAACUUUUUUCUAAAUAAUAUUAAAAUGUAUCGAUGACAAAUUAUAUAAUCUGAAUCUGAUGAUAGUCAACACCAAAAGGAUAUUUUUCAGAUGGGUAUAUCAUAAAACAAGAUUAAAUUGUAUUUUCUUAAACUGUAACAAUUACCUAUAUAGCUAUGUGCACAAUAACACCCAUGCUUUUAUGGGAGGAAAAUACUACCAAAAAGAAAAAGACUACCUCAUUGUUAACAGACAAACGACUAAGGUAUAGGGAGUGACAGACUAAAGUAAAUCACCAAAGGGCAAAAUAUUUAUUACUGAGGUUUUAAUUGUUAACUUUGAUUCAUUACUUUUACCCAUUUAUACUCCUAAAACUCUGUAGCAAGAUAGCUAUGGGAAAGAAAAAAAACAAUUUAUACGAGGUGAUAUACAACUAAAGUAUAAGGAGAGAGCAUAAAGUAAAUCACUGAAGGUCAUAAUACUUAUUAGUGAAGUUUGUAAUUGUCAACUUAGAUUCAUUAUUUUCACCCAUACUACCUAAAGUUUGUAGCAAGAUAGCCACGAAAAAAACAGAUUGUAUAGUCUAGGCACAAAGAAAGGCAAUGGGAGUUUUACAUAGAUAAAUUGGGACAAGAGAGUAGUAAGACGUGAAAUGUAUUGCAUCAAACUAGUAAAGUACAGAUCAAGGAGUAUUAUGCCAAAAUGACCCUGUUGACCAUCUCAUAAAUGCUAUUGCAUAGCUGGAGUAAACAAACACAAUUAAUACUUCUCCAAAUUUUUUUUUUUCCAUUAAAAUUUGAAAGAAAAGAUUUGACAUUAUGAGACAGCUAUAAGACAGGCUGUGCUCAAGAUAGAAAUAAUAUGCAAUCUAGGGACAAAAAUCCCACAAAAAGAAUUAGUCUUAUAGAAAAUGAAACAUGAUUAGCAAACCGCAAAAGAUUAAGCACAGUGAUAAAAAAGGAUUGGAAAACUAGUAUCCUAUACAGCAAGAUAAGGAAAUAUUUUGGCAUGUCAAUGAAGAUAAGUAACUUCACCACUAAGUAAAUGCAUCUGACAAAGUAUGUUGGCCUCAGAAGGACAGGAUGUCCAAUAAUUUCAUAGGAAACAAGCAAAAUGCAAAAUACUUUUAAUUCACAAGCAAAGGGUACAAAUGCUACAUUAGGUAUAAAAUACCUAAAGUAGUACAUUUGGACCUACUAAACUCAAAACACUUAUAGAUUGCGCAUUCACAAUGAAUAAGCAAACUGAACUUUAGGGAACCCAAAGAAUACAAAGAGAAAUCAAGAAAGAAGAGGACAAAAACCUUAACCAGAAGACUGACAACACUUCAAAGAAUAGGAGGAAAAAACACAACCAGGAGUGCAGGAUGUCCUUAAAAGUUUUCCAGCUAAGCAAACUCUUUUUGGCACAUAUCAGCAUUCAUAUACCUAUUUGUAUAUAUCUAAAUCAAGUCAUAAGAAUCACUUUCUUCAGAACAUGUAAAUAUCAUCCCAUGUCGAUGUAAAAGAUAACAAAAGAAUCACAGAAGUACAGAAUCUGAAGGGCUCUCCUGAGCAUGACAUGCCAUAAUACCAUCCCAUACAGCACCACAUGAUAGUAAACAAAAUGCUAUUAUACUUGGUAUAAAUCACAAGUCAUUUUCCUUAAUGUGUUUCUAUCCAUUAUUUACUUUUAUUUAUUUAUUCAGUUACUUCUUUUAAUGCAUAAAUUGAAGUGAUUAAUUGACUAAUUCCAGUGUUGAAGAUAACCUAAUCAUCACCAAGAAUUUCAACAACUGAAAAACCUAAGAGACAAGUGAAUGUAGAACAUAAAAAAUAUAUAUGUAUAUAUGCACAGAAGACCAGAUCACUAACACCAUAAGUAAUCCACAAAAGAAAGUUUCCCGAAAAACUCACUUUAUUGAAGCCUGCUAUUAAUUUAAUACGAACCCAUCCCUGGUCAUCCAUGUUCCGCCUCAAGAAUGUAUCUUUAAUUAAAUUGUCAUUACUGCAAUAAACGAGUAUGAAGGGCAACAGCAGUUAAAGUUUCAAAGGACUUAAAAGGGAAAAUCGCGAUCACUGAUCUUAUGAUAACAAGCAAAUAAGAAAAGGAGUACCUGAAAUAAUACUCUAUCUGAUUAAUGAUCUUAGUAUGCAGCUGAGGAUCAGGAGCGGGAAAAACCAUGGGAUGUCGCAUUGGUGCAACGAAAGGCACUCCAAGUGGCUCAUGUGGUGUAUGUGUAACAUAAACCAGUUGAGGUUGCAUUUCUGAAAAAUAGAAAGAUAUUAGAAUGAAGUCGCCUGUUAAAACCAUCUAAGUUCCAUUAUGCCUAAGUGCUUACCAAACCCUAUGGGCCCACCAAAAGCCCUCAUCUGUGGUUGGUGGAUAAAUUGGGCUGCAUUAGGAGGUGGUGGUGGUGGUGUUUGGUGGGGCCUCAUCAUCCUAGGGACACUCCUUUGAGGAUGCAUGUGGUUGUCUCUAUUGUUAAAAUUUCGAUGAGUGUUCCAAUCUUGGCCGCCGCGGUCCUGAUCCCGCCUAUAGUUGUGAUGGUGAGAACCAUCUCCACGAGGAUGUGAACCGCCAUUUCGGUUCCUGAAGGAGUUACGCUGCUGUGGAUGAUCAUUAUUGCUGUGAGAUUGUGAGCCGAUUGCACUCCUAUGUGUAUGCUCCUUAGGAGAAGGGUUAUUUGGAACCGUUUCAACACCUUGACCAGCUGAGGAUUGAUGCUGGGGAAGACCUCCAUUAGAGGAGGCACUUGCAUUAUUUCGUUUCAUAGAUCUCUGGCGCGCAGGUCCAGUAUGGUUUGGAGUUGAAGACGAAUUCACUUGUUUCGGUGAUGAGGUAGGUGUGGUUCCAGUCCCCUAUACCACACACAUCAAGGAAUAUGAAUGUACAUAUGCACAUAGAAAUAACCUAAUUAACUGAUAUAGGGAACAUAAACUAUAGUACAAAAACCAAAUACAAUACCCUCCAUUAAGGUUAAUCAAAUUUGCUUUAAAAAUAUAAUUUUUCAAUGCCUCAAACAAUCAGAACCAGUAAUUCAAGAUAUACUUUCCACUUACUUUCCUUCUUUCUCAAUGAAUAAGAAAAAAUGUCACUUAUGCAAUUACCCAAAUUUUCUCACAAACGAACACGCUCACUAUAAAAUAGCACCAUUCAAAUGCAGAGAAGUAUAAUGCAUUGCUUGAUUAUAGUCAAAUCAACUUAAAAAUAGCAUAUCAGCCUAAAUCAUAUAGCAUUUUACGUUCUUCUCAGCAACCAAACAAUAUCAGAGAGAUUCAAGGAAGAAACCUGCGACAUGGAGACAGACAAAGGUGGUUCCGAUACACCUUUGAGUGGUUCCGGAGACAAUUUCGUCGAUGCCCGAGCCGACUCGGACAAGGCUGGCCAAGAAACAGCUCCCAUUACGGGCCCAACCUCGAUGGCCCCAUUCGAGGGCUUGUUCCAAGCUGGCCUCUUACCCGCAUUGCCGUUCUCGGAGCCCUCACCCACUGACUCCUCCGCCGGAGGAGGCGAAGACGAAUUCGACUGAGGAGCAGAGUUAGACUGAGACUGAGAAGACGAAGAAGAAGAAGGAGGGGGAGGAGGAGGCGCAGCAGCGACAGCUGGCUCAGUCACAGCCGUCGACGGCGACGAAGGAGCGACCGCGAUCGGUUCAGAUUCUCCCCGCACGAUUUGGGUCCACGGAGACGAGACCGCCCUGGCGGCUCGGCGCGAUUGGGUGGUGGGGCUGCUGACACUCUCGCCGGCGUGACGCGGCGAUUGUACGGCCGGGUACGACGCCGUUUCUGGAUUGCUGCUCUUAUUCGCGGAGUUAAUCAUGGCCAUAACAAGCAAAAGCUAGGGUUAGCGAGCGCGAGAGAGAGUCGACGAGUUGAUCGACGAGGAGGGGAGGGGCAAAAUGGGGAUAGAGUGAUCAAAAUUUCAGCGGACUUAGAGCGAUAAUGGAGAAGUGAUUAGGGUUUCAGAGCAAUGUGAGGGCAUAAAUUAGGGUUCCAAAGAUUUGGGGGCGAUCGGAUCGCAGAGAAGAAGGAGAGAGCAGAGAGAGAGGUGAAGAAGAGGAGCGAGCGAGCGAGUGCUCUCUGAUUUUUCUCUCUCUUUGGGGCGUGUGUUUGUGUGUUUCUUCUUGUUCUCGUAGUUGCUUAGCCUUUGGGCUUUGCGCUGUGAGAUUUCCUGGACGCCCAGGUUUUAUACGUAUAAGAUUACUUAAAUACCCCUUCUAGCGUACCCGCGGGGCAGCUUUGCCUUCCUGUGUUUGUUUAGGUCAUCCACACAACACCUGAGUUACAUGGGAUUCAGGAUCAGGAAUGCAAAUACGACUAGGACUCUCCUUUUAACUUUUUACUAGACUUGCUCUAUUUUUUUAAAAUAUAUUUUUUACUAUUACUUGCCUAAUUACGGCUCUACGUGGAGGCAACUUCUUGACCAAAUAGGAUUAGGACACAUCAUCGACUGCACAAUGUGAUGGAUAUUCUAUCGGUGUGUCUCAUUCAUAUUGGAGAUUAAUGCUUUUAAAACGCCUUCGACCAAGUUAUGAGUGAUUAGAUGUGAUUAUAGAAUACUAUAUUAGUAUGGUCACGUGGUAUAUUUUGUAUACGUGUUAUAAAUUAUAAAAUAAGUGGAUCUUUAUUCAUACUAUUCCCUAAAAGGGAGAAAAAUAAAUCAUGUCGUCCACAUAUAUUAUAACACGUGUACAAGAUAUACUAUGUGACAAUACUGCCAUAAUAUUCUAUAAUUUCUCUUAUCCAUCAAAAUUGGUAACAUAUCCUACUUCAAUGUCUUCCCAAAUUUUUAGUUCAUUGAAAAAAUAUUUUUCCAUAUUUUUAAAUUGACAUACAUCACUUACCUUCUUUGGAUUUAUAAAAAUGAAGAAAUCUAAAAACUUCAGGUGGAAAAAGAAAAAAAAACCCUUGGAAUUUAGAAAUAAAAAAUUAUGACUUUAAAUUUUAUCUAAAUAGAAAUCUAAAGAGUAAACAAAAAAAGAAAAAACAGUGCCAUCACGACUAUUAACUACUAUCAUUCAUUUAUAAAUUAAUUCCUCAAAAAAAAAACCUAAACAUGAAAUUCCGUGUUUAAAUCUCGUUAUUCUUUAUAAGUCGGUCAAACAAACUAAACUUCCACUAAUUUUACAUCAAAGUCCCAUCAUUUUGUCUGACCAACAAACAAAAAAAAGGUCCCAUCAUGUUGAAAUUCCCUAACACCAGCGUAGGUAGGAAUAGGUUCUCGAUCAAGAGCUGAACUAAAUUGUGGUAAAUUUGGACCAAAAUAAAAACCUUAGUAAAAAAAAAAAAAAAAAAAAAAAAAGAAGGUUUCGAUGAGUCUGUAAAUCUGUCUGGUUUUAAGUAUAUUGAUUUGGUAAAUGGUUCUACUUCUCAAGAGCAAAAACCUGAGCAACCGAUGACAGAGCCUGUAAUUCCAAGUGAAUAAACCUGUUCCUCCCAUGACUCAAGCUCUAAAAUUCAAUUCAAACAAUGUUAACUCAAGACCAUUUGAAAAAUAUCAACCUCAGCUGCUGUCUUCUAUCUUUGUAUGAUAAGGUGCCUACAAAAUAAGCAUUCCCAAUGAAUGCGAAUGGUCCCCAACACCCUUCAGCGAAUAAAUUCAAUUCUAUAUUGAUUUUUUUUCUUCUCAACACAAGAAUAAAAGGUCAAAGAAAGAACCAACACGCAAGAAACUGGCAUUUGUAAAUGGGAGGGAGUUUGAGUUUGAAGUGAUUACUUUACAAGUUAUAAUGGAAAGUUACAAUGGCAAAAGGAUGACCGGGCAAGGAAUGAACUCUGCAAGCAGGUUUGCAUCAACAUGCUUGGAAUGAAUAGCUUCCAUGCUUAUAACAACUAAAUCCAAAUUCAGGUCAUCAGCAACCUCGCCGAUGAUGGCUGUCGGCUUGUUCCCUUCCCCAAGUCGCUCUAGCAGCUUGUAUUCUUUGAACCCACCUAUCAGUAAUUUUUUGAAGGGGUUACAAGUAAUGUUAGUGUUAAAGAUGCUGCUCUAAACAUAUACAAAUCAUAAGUAGAUCAACAAUCAAUUCUUUUACAAGCAUACUUAAAAAUGUUCACAAACCCUAUUCUUUGAAGUAGUAAAUUUUGUCAACAAUUGCAUACGAUAUUCUUACAACACAAUAAUAAAAACAUGAUGCCUAGAUCCUCUUCUACAUUCAAGAGUUUUUGACAAAUUAGCAUAGCCCCCAAUAAUACAGUAUUAUAGUCACUUCUUUCUAAGAAAAAAUGCAACUUGAAUCAAGAUUUGAUGCUUCAACCCUUUUCUAGUAUUUGAACUCCCUUCAAGCAUCAAACUUUCACCUAAGGUUGUACCUUUACUAUAAAUUGAAUAUAUUAGGGGGCUAAACUUUGGCCAUUUUUGCCAAAAACUUCCCAUUCAAUAUCAGAGUUAUCAACUAGCAAAUCACCCUUUCGGUUUUCUAAUGAAAUAUGACAAUGUGGCUCCUUUUCCAUUGCCAUUCUUCUCUAUGCAUGUUUUGAUUCAGUCAGUAGAAUUAAAACAUUUAACUUAUUGUGAAAAACUGCAUACAAUCAAAAUAACACCCCCGGAAAACCCAAUCGGCACAUUUGUACAUGCAAACAUAGUGUGUACGCUUUCAUUCCUUUGUUAAUUCACAUCCCCAAUCAGUCCUCACAUUUCAAAACAUAUCGAUUGAAAGUUGAAACCUUCCCUAUUGCACAUAAAAUUGUAAGAGCAUAUAUACAGCACACAAACCUUCAGAGAGAUGCCAGCGGAUAGUAGAAAGUUGGGUUUCAUGUUGCGGCAGAGACUCCUUCUCCUUCUCAUCGAUAACUGCAAACAACACAAAAUCCUAUAUUUCUAGACUAGGCAUAUCGUAUCAAAAUGCAAAAAGGGUCUGUACAGUGAAAAAGGCUAUAUCUUGUGCUUGAUUUCCACACCAUAUAUAAACAACGUAAAAGCAGAGAGGUCAGUGGUGGAUCAGUACACAUACCCACAACCGUAAUGUCAGCUCCAUACUUGUUUGCCAAAGCAGCAGCAGUAGCUAUAGCCUGUAGAAAAAUAAAAAUUCAAACUUUUUUGCAUGCAUCACACACAGAAGCAGCCAUGUAAAUUAUGUGGGUCAAAAUUACCUGUCUUGUUCCCUCGGAGAGAUAUGGGUUCCCAUCGACGAUGGGCAGAAGCAGAUGCUUGAAAUGGGUAAUGGCAUCUGCAGCUGUACUGACUUGAGGCUCUUGCGGCUCAGCCUGUGCUGAUGGAGAGUGAAAGUAUUUACCAUUAUGCCCCAGCCGUCUGAAUCCGGAAAAUAUGGAGAGAUUGCGAGGUUUGAGAGGAGGAGGAAGAGAAAGAGAGAGAGACUCAGAAGAAGAAGGUGGUUUCAGAAUCGAAGUCUUUGCGUGCUUUGUGGUUUCGACAGGAAUGGUUACUGGGUAGUGAGCAAAAGCCAUUGGAGAACUAGGCGAGCUCCGAGUUGACGAGUUCACUCAGUGAAGCAGAGGAAGAAGAUGUUGAAGAUUAGGGGUGCUUCCAGAAAGCGCUAUCAAAGAUCGACUUCAAAAUUGAUGUUGGUUUUGGAUAAUCUUAAUUGGGCCUUGUUGGAUUCGGCCCAUUGGGCCUUAGUGGACCCAUAACUUGCCUUCACAGCUCACUUCGUCCCUCUGUUACGAACUUACGACUUUUCGCAGGUAGCGAAUCUAUGGAACCCAUUGACUCGGCCGAAACCGAAACGGCCGAUACUCUUAUGACGACGGUGUCUCGUCAUCAUUUCGGGGAUGAAAUGGACGAACCGGCCUUCUCCAUCUCUAUCAUCGAGAACAUGAAGGAAGACUAUGGUCUGUUCGUGUGGCCCUGUAGCGUGGUCCUAGCGGAGUAUGUUUGGCAACAGAGAUUGCGCUUUUCCGGAGCCGGUGUGUUAGAGGUGGUAAAAUGUACAUGUUAUCCUUAUCCGGGUUUAAUCUUAUUCUUUACUUGUUAAUUAAUUAUUAAUAAUUACUGGGUUAGUUUGCAGCUUGGUGCUGGAACUUCCUUGCCAGGUUUAGUUGCAGCCAAAGUUGGUGCCGACGUCACUCUCACUGAUGACUCGAGUAGAUUAGAGGUAUUGAAUUUCAAUUAAAUUUGUUUUUUAGUUUCUGUUCAGAUCUUAAAUCAGUUUCUUCUUUCUUAUUUGCUUGAAAGCUCAAUUAUCUUUAUGAUGGUCAUUGGUUAGAAUAUAUGUUGGGAAAUGUUAUGUUUUAUGUUACUUUUUGCUUAAAAAUCCCACUGGAAAAAUUUUCAUUUUAAUCAAGGAAUGUAUUUGAGUUUUGGUCCGUUGCCGAAUUUCGAUUUUUUUGAUUCAGAAGUAUAAUUUUGCUAUGAACUGCCUGCUUUGGUCCCAAUUGACCCUUAAAGUUGAUAAAGAAUCUUCAUUUUCUUUGCUACUUCAGUUACUUAGUUCAGACUUGUUAUUUCUUCUCCAAGCAACGUCUCUGUUUUAAAUGGCUAUAAUUAGCGAUUUAUGGCAUUGUUGUUUUGCAUCUGCAGGUGCUGGACAACAUGAAACGAGUGCUUGACCUUAAUAAACUUGAGUGCAAUGUAAUUUCCAUCAACAGACCAAACUCCGUUUCUUAUUUGCGUAUCGCCUAAUAAGAUGAUGUUAAUUGUAUCUUCCUUUUGUGUCACCAUGACCUUGUUUAUCUUGUUAGGAGAUCUAGUUCUGUUUUCAGGUAAUGGGAUUGACAUGGGGAGUUUGGGAUGCAUCUACAUUCAGUUUACAUCCAAAAUUUGUUCUUGGGGCUGAUGUGUUAUAUGAUGCUAGUGGUAGGGUUAUUAUUAUCUACUAGUUUUUUGUUUUUGUUUUUUCUCGUUUUUCCCUCUUACCAUCUCGAUCACUUAACUUGAGCUGAAAUGUGGAUUUUGUUUGUGUUGUUAAGCCUUUGAUGACCUCUUUGCCACUGUUACAUUCCUGCUCCAAAGUUCUCCGGGGUCAGUGUUCAUAACAACUUACCAUAAUCGGAGGUAUUUUCACCUGCUUUGGUUUCUAAUGUUAUUUCAACUCUAGAACAUGUGCACAUGUAGUAUGCGCAUAGCGCUGGAAACGAACUCUCUCUUACUUUGUUACUCUCUGAAAACACUUCGUGUGUAUAAUGUGCAGUGGACAUCAUCUGAUUGAGUUUUUGAUGGUCAAAUGGGGGUUGAAGUGUGUGAAGCUUCUUGAUGCCUUUUCAUUUAUGCCAUCCCACAAGGCAUCCGGGCUAAGCGGCAACCUUCAGUUGGCAGAGAUUGUUCUGGAUAGUCAACGGGCUGAGAUACCGGUUUUGCAUUAGCAGUGUGGGAAUGCAGUAAUGCAGCCGCUCGGACUUGCAUUAAGACUGCUUGUUACUGUUGGAACUCUGCUGCAGCAAGUUCAGUAGUCCAGUUGAUUGAGCGCACUGUAAUGGAGGACAUCAUUUGUUCAUCUUUAUUAAGAGUUAGGUCAACAUAGACAGAUUUCAAGUUUCACAAAAGAAAGUAUUGUUUCCGUUCAAACCAAUAUUUAUAAUAGCUUUGUAUUUAUAACAGCUUUUGUUGUAACAAGAUCCUUACAAACAUUAUGAAUUACAGCAGACAAACAAUUUCUCUCUGAAAUCUCUCAAACAAAGAAAGAUAAUAACAGAGAACCAUCUUAUUUGAUGGAUUUUUCAGCUCCCUGGUUUUAAAUUUGACUACAACUAAGAUUGAAGGCCCUCAAUUAAUUUACUAUCCUGCAGUCUUUCCUGACCUCUUGUCCACCUGUAAUGCUACUCAUCUUAAUCAUAGAAUUCACAAAAGCAUCUAAGAAAGCUUCCUUUGAAGUAGCAAACUUAGUAACCAAAUUUUUGGUCUUUGGAAAACUAAGCAGAGCUUGGUCUGAAGAAAACAAGCUCUUCCCCUGGAGGAUCAACUUGUAGUAUGCGUUAUCAAAAGUUGUUGAAGAAGGAUCCAUGGUGGCGCCAGCGUUUUUUGGCCUGUUAUUGAUGGGACAUGUAUUCUUUAAGCUUGCUGCAAAGGAUGGUCGCAGUGAAGGAUCGACGUCGUGUGUGGCAUUGAAGUUGUGGAUUCUGUUUUGGAAAGAUGAGCAGUGAGAGAACCCUAGAGUGUGACCUCCUGCAGAUGUUUCAAUAGUUAAGCUCUCCAUUUCUUCUUGAGAUAAAUGAAAAAUAUGAAAUAGCAAUUGCAAUUGCAAUUGGGAUAUUGAAGUUAGUUUACCUGAAAGAGCCACCAGGUCAUUCAAGGACAGACCUCUCUGAGAGAAGCUCUGCUGCAGUUGAGAUAUGUUGAAGGUUGGAGCUGGCAAUUGUCUGGUUUCAGUAGCCUUUGAUGUUCUUCCAUCUUUUCUUCCUUUUGGCACAUCCCAGUUUGGACCUCCAGACUGCAAAGAUUAAUAGUACAAUCAGAAACAGCAAGAACUUUUUCUUGUCAUUUUUGUUUAAAACCAGUUGUGAGGACUUUUUCUUGCUUACUUGCACAACAGCAUCCCUUGCAGCUAGAGCCAAGAUAUCAGCACAUGAGACCACACCAGGGCAGGAAGCCUCCACUUGUUUCUUUGCAUUGUCAAUGACAUAAAAUGCAUGCAAAGAAAUAUUUGGUGGCCCAUCUUUCUCUGCUUGGUUGCUCCCUUUGGAAUUUAACAACACAGAGGCAUCACAACCCUGCAAAAACAAGGGAAAAAGUUUCGGCUAACUCAACCAGUGCAUUUAAACUGUCAGACAACUUGUACAGAAAAAAUAUACAUAUGUACCCUUAUGAAACAGUCAUGGAAAUGCAUCCUGAGCAGAGCAGCCGGGACAGUUCUGUCAUUAGCUGCCGCUUUCUUGACAGCAUUUGAAACUAUUUGGUCAACGUUAGGACAGCUCUUAUCGUAAUAAUUCGAGCUCAGUGCGGUAAUCACCGGGGAAAAGGCUGAAAGGAUGAUGAGGACUGAGCUCAAGAAUGCAAGAUUAAAGGCCAUCCUUACAACUCUCUUUCUUAACUCUUUGUAACUUUGUUUAAGUGUGGGAACUAACAAUGGAUUAGAGUGGUAUUUAUAGAUGGAGAGGGAGAGAGAUUGUUUACUGAUACAAUGUUGGCCCCAUGUAAUGAAUUAGUUAAGAAAGUAUGCUUAGAAGUAAUAAUGAAGGCAAUGCAUAUGCACCUUUACUACAAGACAAUCACCAUCCCAUCUGUCCUUGCACCUUGAAAUCUCUCUUUAUUUAUUUUAAUUAUUUUUUUACUAAGAAAGUUACCAUCAGACAGCAAAAGUGAUCUCAAUAAUUUCUUGAUAUUAAUUUCAAGGUGUUCAUCAUCAAGCAUGGCUCAUGUCUCUCUAUAAUUACCUCUUGCUAGCUAGGCUAUAUUAUUGAAAUUCCGUUUCAAUGAAUCAAUCAUUUAAAAGGAUGAAGUUAAAAGUUUCCUCUCUGAACAUUAUGAUUUUAAUACUUGAAAACAGAGAGGAUUCUCAAAACCAAAAAGAAGCAGAAGAUUCUGCAUUGGGAGCAUUGUUCCAUUCCAACAAUUACAACAAAUAUUCUCAAAUUAAAAACUCAAAUAUAAAACCCUUCUGCAUGGUAUGGUAGGUGCUCCUAAUUCAGUAUCUUCCCUUUUUUAAAGGCUAUGCAUGCAUCAGCAAGUUAUAGCAAACAGUUCUCUCUUUCAUAUAUAUAUAUAUAUAUAUAUAUAUAUAUAUAAAUAUAUAACAUCCGGACGUCCACAUAGCAGAAUUUUUGUAUUAUUAAAACCUGUUUUUCAACUCUUGAUGUGAAACAAAGAGAACCAAUAAUUCUGCUGCUUUAGCAGAAAAAGGAACGUCUCUGAUCUGAAGUGGGUAGGGUUGAGCAAUCAAAAGUUGUUAUUUUUAUGGUCAAGUUUGCUCUCAAAGUCUCAUGCUUUAUUAGUUAUAGUGGGUGCUGGCUUAUCUAAUUCAUUCAUGCUUGCUAAUUUGUACGUGAGCCUCAGAUCGUCAUGUUCCAGACAUAAUUAACUAACUUCAGUUGCCCCCAACAACCAUGCCCCCAAAAUCUUUUCAUUUUCUCAUAAUACAAUUAAGGGUACUUUAGGUGAAUGCUGGAUUACUUAGCCAACCUAAUUUCCAGAAAUCCUUUAAGGCUGGCAUGAUUGGUUGCAGCAUUUUGGUCAACGGAGAUUUGACUAUAUUUUAUAAUUUUGAGGCUUGACUUACAGCAGGCUAUAAAACUAGGGCCUAGAGGUUAGUAUAAAUCCUAACAACUUGUGCCAAACUUAAUCCAAUUAUUAUAUACCAUCAAAAUUAGUUGGGGUUUAUCUGGUUUGGUGGGUUGAGUUUAGUCACACGCUUCUAUGAAUAUAUAUUUAAUAGUAGUAAACCGGCAGACACUGUUUUUUUAUGUAGCAGUCUUGCUGGCUUAUCUUAAAUGGCAAACAUAAUCAACCAUUGACCAAAUGAACUUGAAUAAAUAAAAACAUACCUCCUGGCCUCUCUUGGGUCAAGUUAGAGAUUGAAUUGUGUUCUCAUAGAAAAAUACUUGGAAACCUUAAACAAAACUUGUGCCAAAUUGUCAAAUGAUUAGCUUCAAACUUCUGAUGUUGUGUCCAUGAGUGAAAUUGUUAAGUCGGUAAUUGGUCGAGCGGUUUUAUCAUUAUGUCUAGAUUCACAGUUUAGUAGUGCAAACAUUUUAUGUUGCCAGAUUAUGAAUGUGAACCAUUCAUCUUAACACAAUCAACUAAUGAAUUUUAAUAUUGUAUAUAAUGCAUCAACAACGGACAACUGGAGAAAGAAAAAGGAAAAAUUAGAAUUUGGAGUUGGAGUUGGGCUUCAACUAUAAAGAGAAUUUAGAGUUGGGCUUAUAUGACAUUGGGCUCAGCAGGUAUCCAAGGUCCACCUCAGAACUGUUUCUAAUUUUUGUUGGAAAAAACAACCCGCGAUGUUAAACCCUAAGGAAGAAGAAGAACGUUAAGCCCCUGCAACGCCACCACACCACUGAACUGAAACCGAGCAACGGCGAAAGCUUAGCCUAGACCAUGGGAUCCAAUAAGAAGAACAAGAAGAGCAAGAACAAGAAUGAAAAAUCCAAAGGCAGCGAUGAGAACCUCAUCACUGACUCUCGGUUUUCGUCCGUACACUGGGACCCUAGGUUCCAGAACGUCCCGAAGCACAAGGCGAAGGUGGAGAUCGACUCGCGAUUCGAUCGCAUGUUCUCGGACAAGCGAUUCGGCUCGUCCUCGGUCCCGCUAGACAAGCGAGGCAAGCCGAAGAAGCUCGACCAAGGGAAUUCGCUGCGCCAUUACUAUAAAAUCGAAGAGGACGAGGAUAAGGUCAAUUCCGAAGUGAAAAAGAAAGAGAAAAAGAUUGAGGAAGAGGUAGAAGAAGAGAGUGAGGAGUUGGAGGAACUCGGUGGAGAGGAAUCGGAGGAUGACGUGGCGAGUGGUGACUCGGAUACGACGACGGACACAAACACGGAUGAUGAAUAUGAAGAAGAAGAAGUGGUUUUCGAGGACGGUGAGCCUGGAAUGGAGGUAUUUAUUAUUAUUAAGAUUUAAUUAGUUUAAAUUUGGAAGAAAAGAGAUCAUUGAGUAGAAAAUGUUGGUUAAUUUUGGUUACUUGAUUCUUCUUUGUGCGGGCAGGCGGAAGAUGUACCAGAAAUUGAUAAGGAAACUCACAGGCUUGCUAUUGUUAACCUGGAUUGGAGGCAUGUUAAGGUAUGCAUUUUUUAAACUUGGCAUCGAAUUCAUUUUCAUUAUGUAUGUAUUCAAGUGGCACAUAGUAAAAGCAUCAAAAUUUGAAUUUGUUAGUUUUCUGUAAUUCGGUCUGGAGAUGGAGAUUGUGUUGUCAGUACUGAGCACUUUUAUUAUUCGAAGAAAUAUGAGUACCAAAUGAAUUGUCAUAUAAUAUACUUUGUGUUAAGUUGUUUGAGUAAGAGUCUUUUGAGUUGAAGACUGUUAAUUUUUGUGUAAGCUUCCUCUUUGUGGACAUUUGCUGGUAACUGAGUGUUUUGUUGCGUUUCGUGUAGGCUGUUGACCUGUAUGCGGUGUUGAGGUCUUUUCUCCCAAAAGAUGGAGAAAUGAAGUCUGUGGCUGUCUAUCCAUCUGAGUUUGGACUCCAGCGUAUGAAAGAGGAAGAACUUCAUGGUCCUGUUGGCCUAUUUGAUGAUGAAAAUGAGAAAAGUGAUGAAGAUGAGGACGACGAUGAUGAUGAGUUUGAUGCUCAGAAAUUGCGUGCUUAUGAGAUAAGCAAGCUAAGGUGGUUAAUUGUGCUUAUUUCAUAGUUAUUGUUUGUUGUAUGUUUUUAAAUUAUAUGUUUACUUAUAUAUAACUUAUUUUUUCUUAGGUACUAUUAUGCUGUAGUGGAAUGUGACUCAAGUGCCACAGCAGAUUACCUUUACAAAAAUUGUGAUGGAGUUGAGUUUGAACGGUCAUCAAAUAAACUUGAUUUAAGGUUUAUCCCUGAUUCAAUGGAAUUUCAACACCCACCCCGUGACAUUGCAACAGAGGUAUAUGUUCCAACCAUUUACUUAUAAGUUUAUAUAGAGUUUGAGCAAUAGAUUUUUAUAUGCUAAUCUGUCUGUAGUGAGCGAAGUAGGGAUUAUGUGCAAAUGAUGGCUCUUCAUGCUUCUUUAUGGAGUCUGAAACUUUUUUUUAACAAAAGGAAAUGAAUUGAAUUUUUUCUGUAAAAUGUAGCAGUGAUUGUGAAGUCUUUGGCUUUUGUUAGGUACCUGCAAACUAUGUGGGUUUGGAUUUCCAGACUCAAGCUCUGCAACAGAGUAAAAUUGAUAUUUCUUGGGAUGAGGAUGACCCAGGACGUAAGACCCUGAAACGGAAAUUCACUGACGAUCAGGUCAGUAGAUUUUAUCUGAGUGAUAUAAAUGCUUGCAUUUUAUGUAAUUUGUUAGUAGGGUUCAUAUCUUGCUCCAUGCUUGAGGACCUGAAUAAACAUUUGCUACACUUAUCUGAAUGGGCAUUAUGUUACACUGAUCUGAAUGAACAAUAGGAAUUGCAAAGAUGAUGGGAAGAGCAACUGAAGAACUAUCAACUCCAAAUUUGUAUAAAAAUAAUAUAAAGUAACUACUUCGUGUACUUUUUGCUUCUAGCUGAUAUGAUCUUUGGUUUGUUUCUAGCUUUCUGAAUUGGAGCUGAAGGAGUUUUUGGCAUCUGAUGAGAGUGAAAGUGAUGAGGAUGAGAAUGAUGAUGCUACAGAGGACAAGUCCGAUAAAAAGAGUAAAAAACGAGAUUUGUACCGCACUUUAAUCCUGUCUGGAAAUGGAAAGGGAGAUGCUUCAGAUGGAGAUGGUGAAGGUGAAGACGAUGACAAGGACAUGGAGAUCACAUUUAAUACUGGCUUAGAGGAUAUAAGCAAGCGCAUUCAAGAAAAGAGAGAUAAGGAAUCAGAAACAGUUUGGGAGGCCUAUCUCAGAAAAAGACGUGAGAAAAAGAAGGCUAGUAAAAACAGAUCUAAGGAUUCAUCAGAGGAUGAGGGUAGCGACACUGAUCGAGAGGCAACAGAAGAUGCAGAUGAUUUCUUUAUUGAAGAGCCUUCAGUCAAAAAAAGUAAAAAGGGUUCUCAAGGUAAAGGUAAAAAAGGAGAUAAAGGAAACCAAGAUAUGGAUAGGGAAGCAGAAGCAAGCAGAAACGAGCUUGAGUUAUUGCUUGCUGAUGACAAGGGAGCAGAUACAGGUCUUAAGGGCUACAAUUUGAAACGUAAAAAGACUAAGGGAAAGAAGGGUAAAGAAGUUCAAGAAGAGGACAAUAUACCAGCUGUUGAUUACGAAGAUCCACGGUUUUCAGCCCUCUUCACAUCUCCCCGUUUUGCUCUGGAUCCAACAGAUCCACAGUUCAAAAGGUAUCUACCUCUUGUUUUACUUAUUAUUUGACAAAACAUUUGUUUCUAUCAUAUAUGUUGAUAUUUUAACAAAAUACAAAUUAUUGCUCUCCUUUGUUUUCCAUACUUCCAAAAGAUGGCUCCAAUAGUUGCCCUAAUAUGUGCCACUUCACUUAUUGACUGUCAUGUCAUAUACAUUUGUGGUUCGUUGUUGCAGGAGUGCAGCUUAUGCUCGGCAGUUGGCAUUGAGACAGCAGAAGGGUGACCAAGAAGAAGUGGUAGAAAGGGAAGUAAAAUCUGAUGUCUUGCGGUCAAAGAUAGAGAAAUCGUCAUUAAUCAGAUCAAUAAAGAUGAAAGCCAACCCCUUUGAUGGUAAGAUGUCAAAGAAACAAGAAAAUUUGCCAUCCAAAGGGAGAAAGGAAAAGAAAGAUAAGCAGGAGGCCCCAAGCUUGGUUGAACCAGUUAAGAAAAAGAAAAAGACCAAAGCUUAACGAAAAUGAAAGCAUUGUUAAAAUUGAAAGGAGUCUUAUUGCUGCCUGAAACAUCAUCCAAAUGAAUGGAUCUUUGAAGGGGUGGAGGCCAUAACGAACCAUGCCUGCUCGGUCCGACUCCUGAGACAGUUGAGUUGUUGUUCUAAUUAUUGUCAUAUUCUUUUUCUUCAAAUAGAAGAUUAUUGUCAACUGUGAAGGUUUUUAUUUAAAAAAAUCUAGGCGUUGGCUUUAGGAACUAAAUUUAUUCUCUGUAGAAGACAGUUUUGUUUGUUUUUUGUUAUGUUUGUUUUUGGUGAAGGUAAAUGUGAGUUUUGGUUCAAUUUCCAUUGUUAUACAUAUAAGACCGCCUGAAAAAUUUUGUUUUUCUUAUUGAAAAUGAUUAGCACGUUAAAUAAGAGACCGAAAACGAUAUUUAUUUAUUUCUGUAGGAAAAAAAAUUUCUUUGUUCCCUAUAGUCAUAACUAAAAUCAUAUGUACAACCCCAUGUUUCUAUCAGUAUAAAUUGUGUACCAAAAAUAGGAAGUCGACGUCUUCCAAUUUUCUCUAUAGUCUACCUCAAACAAAUGCCUAUGGAUACAUAUGAUACGGGGCUGAGAAAAUCUCAGCACCAAGAAAGAAUGAUCAAACUAUGGCAAAACAUGCAAAAAGAACCAUGGUGAGCGCACACGCAAAGGAGUUCAACUUGGGUGAAUGAUUUGAUGGUGGUAUAUGAGAAGUGUUGGUACUCCCUGCUGUGGCUUCCGGAUUGAUGGUAGAGCUAGGGGAUGCGGCCGGAGAUUUGGAUUUAGUGACAGGAAGAGUGACGGUGUCCUCAACAUUAUAACCUGAAAAGAAAAAAAGGAUCUUACUGUCACUGCAAAAGAUCAUGAAGAAAAUUUGUUUGCCAAAUUUCAUUCAAAAUGGUAGAAUUAGGACUCACAAUUGGACUCCUUCCAACCCAAUACCAUCCUCUCACGGUCAAAAAUUACACGAUAGCCCGUCAUGAAGUUUUCUGCACGAAAAAAUCCACAUUGUGAGCAAAAGUUAAUUCAAACAUGAACUAAUAUAUUUGAAUGACAGUGAUCGUUAAAAUAUCUCUUUAAGGGUGUUGGAUUUCUUCAAGCAGUAUCUUAAUCAGGGUUUGACAAUUCUCAGAAUCGCAUACUAUCGUACCAUUUGGAAUACAGAAAAGAAAAAAACAACCUUAACUUGAAAGAUAAUCAAAAGUUAUUUAGAAAGAGAUGGAUGCUUACGUCCAAUGAUAUUUACAUCUCCACUUUUGACGAUGCCCAGACAAUAAAGCAUUGGUGUUCCAUCCUGGGGAUCAGAAAAGGAAAGUUUAGCAUGACAUGCUGCAGGACCAGGAAAAAUAGACAUGCUAAAAGUAGAAACUUACUUCAUUAGCAAAAACCACAAGCGGAUCAAGCAGAGGAUAUUGCUUUCCACCUUUCAGCGUCAAGUUCACUGUUUGAUUUGGACUGCACAUAAGCUUAAGUCAGUGCCUGUGGGUUCGGAAAAGAGAGAAUUGAAACAAAGUUUUUAUCGUUUGAUAGAAAUAUAACCUUAUAUCAUAACAGUAUUCAAAAGGGAUGCUAGAAUCCUUCGAACGCUGCUUGUUUUUUAGAGCGCUGUUGAACUGGAAAAUGAGAAACAAUUACAAGGACUGAUAUAGUAAAUCAGAAAAUCGAGAAAACAUUAUGAAACAAUGAACUGAAACUACUUACAUUCUCAGUAAUCUGUGUGUAAGCUGGAUCAUUUAGGUAUGUAAAUGAGGUACCAGAGUCAAAAAUAGCAUAGAAUUCAAGAUCGGUAACACUUUCUCCAAUAGCUAAUUGAGUAAUGGUAAUGUUGUAAGUUGGACUGUGACAAGUUCGAGAGGGGAAGAUUAGUACAACUUGCAUGAUAUUCAAAGCCAAAGCAGUUUACUUGUGAAACUAGUAAACUUGUCAUCAACAUAUGGAUAUUUAAAGGGGCCACUUACUAUGCACGCCCAUUUUUAAGAUUGAAUGGCGUUUCUGCUUGGUCUAAGCUUCCAUUAUCACCAAAGCUAAUUCUCCCAGAUCCAUCAAGUCCGAAACACAUGGAAAAAGAAUUUGAAGCAAGCCCCUGGCUCGCUAAAAUGCUAGGAAUGGAUACGUCAUCCAUACCAAGCCCUAAUAGACCGUUGGGAGCUGCACCAUCCAAAAAUAUUCCAGUCUGCUCCUUACCACAACUGCAAUAGAGUAGCACCUCAACAUCAAAAGUGUCCUAUACAAGUUAAAAUUGGCAUAUCUAGGAAUAAUAUAAACAUCAUACUCUCUAAUGCAGAUUUCAAAUAUCCUUUUAAUGGCAGAGCAAUGAAAAAAUUACCCACCCAAAACCAAUCUGUGCAUUAACAUCUUUUUGUUUCGCAUCGUCAGUGGUUAGGUGCAAAACAUCCUCUACCAGGACCCCCGUAGAUGAGGUGUCAUUCGACAGAUACUCAAUCUUGUAAUGACAAUCACUAGCUGCUGAAGCGCAGUGUUGUGGUUGUUCACAAUAUGUGCUGUUGCAAGAAACCUUUUUGCUUGUUGACGACGUAUUAGGGCUGUAGAUUUCAAAUUUUUUUACCUGGUUGAUAAAAAGGAUACAAAAAGGUAAUUGUCAAUGAAAUGAACCACCAGAGCAUGUUUCAUAGAACCAAAGGCACUAACAAUGUUUACCUGUCUGGUAGAAAGUUUUGGAUACUGCAAGAAGCAGCUUAAUAGUUUUUUACGGUAUAAGAAAACAAUGUUAUCUUGUUGCACAUUUUGAAGUUUUUUACAUUUGCAUUCCUUCUUGAUCAAGAAAUUCUCACCCUAAAGAUGAGGACUCGAACUUAUUUAUUGCAGUUCAAAUUUCACAACAACAAAAAAA